rnacentral:rRNA from 1 species
GUCAGCAGCCGCGGUAACACCGGCGGCCCGAGUGGUGAUCGUGAUUACUGGGUCUAAAGGGUCCCGUAGCCGGUUUGGUCAGUCCUCCGGGAAAUCUGAUAGCUCAACUAUUAGGCUUUCGGGGGAUACUGCCAGACUUGGAACCGGGAGAGGUAAGAGGUACUACAGGGGUAGGAGUGAAAUCUUGUAAUCCCUGUGGGACCACCUGUGGCGAAGGCGUCUUACCAGAACGGGUUCGACGGUGAGGGACGAAAGCUGGGGGCACGAACCGGAUUAGAUACCCGGGUAGUCCCAGCCGUAAACGAUGCUCGCUAGGUGUCAGGCAUGGCGCGACCGUGUCUGGUGCCGCAGGGAAGCCGUGAAGCGAGCCACCUGGGAAGUACGGCCGCAAGGCUGAAACCUAAAGGAAUUGGCGGGGGAGCACAACAACGGGUGGAGCCUGCGGUUUAAUUGGACUCAACGCCGGACAACUCACCGGGGGCGACAGCAAUAUGUAGGCCAAGCUGAAGACUUUGCCUGAAUCGCUGAGAGGAGAGGUGCAUGG